CUCAUAAUCUUACAUACCAAACACCCUUGAAAUUCUCAACCUCAACAAAGUUGAGGCCUCUUAGACUCAACUUAGGGGUAUAAAAGGAAAACAAAAUUUUUCAUCUGAAAAGGGUUUGGUCCACACCUUUUCUAUUACUUUACUGAAAAAAAAACCCACUACUUAUAUUACUUUAUGCAAAAAAAUGUUAAUUAAAUUUGAAAAUAAAGUCCACUAUUUCUGCAAGGAGAGGAGAAAGAAACCCAUUUUGCUUCAAAGAGGGAGAGAGAGAGGAGCAAAGUAAAAACCGCUAAGAGCAAGACAAUUUCGCAUCAUUUGUUUUUGUAGUCAUGCAAAUUUUGAAGAUCUGUAGCGUUGUCUAAUCAAGCGUUGGUGGUUUUGUUUGCUCGCGACGUUGGAAGGUAGUGACGAUGAGGAUCUCGGCGUUGUAGACCUUAGUCCUUGGCAUGUUGGUAAGGAGAUGAUAAUCAUGAGUUAAGAAUGAGAAAGAGGUACGAGACAUCAAACCAUGUCUUUUUCUUAUGGUGGCCCUGCGACGAUCUAUUUUGGAAUUUGUCCAUAAUGGUGAGCAGUUAAAAUAGUAACAGGUUGAUCCAGUGAUGAUCGUAGCUAAAGGAGCUCAUGUGUUUCGAUUAGUUUGUUAUAACAAGUUUAAUUUAUAAAGUAGUACAAAUAGCUCACUUAGAUUUAUUAGGUUGUAAUUAUUGGGAUUUUUGUAAGCCUUAACACUUGACAGGUUGUUGAGUUCGGCGGUAUACCUCCGAUUUAGGUGUAUGCUUCUGCAAUUUUAUUUAAAGGUUGUCUAUUUUUCUUUUAUUUAUUGUUUAUUAUUAGUUAGUAAAUCGGGGGUGUUACACAUAUCUACAAGAACAAUCUAAGUAAUACUUUAAAACCAUUUCUACAAGAACAAACCAAGUAACACUUUACUCUACCUUUUGAUGGUACCGUAAUUAUACC